rnacentral:rRNA from 1 species
CCCUUAGAUGUUCUGGGCCGCACGCGCGCUACACUGACGAAUGCAACGAGCUUAUAACCUUGGCCGAAAGGUCUGGGUAAUCUCCAAAUUUCGUCGUGAUGGGGAUAGAUUAUUGCAAUUAUUAAUCUUCAACGAGGAAUGCCUAGUAAUCGCAAGUCAUCAGCUUGCGUUGAUUACGUCCCUGCCCUUUGUACACACCGCCCGUCGCUCCUACCGAUUGAAUGGUCCGGUGAAGCGUUCGGACCGUGGCCUUUGGACGGUUCGCCGUCUGUUGGCUGCGGGAAGUUCGUUAAACCUUAUCAUUUAGAGGAAGGAGAAGUCGUAACA